rnacentral:rRNA from 1 species
CGUAGGGUGCAGGCGUUAAUCGGAAUUACUGGGCGUAAAGCGUGCGCAGGCGGUCUACUAAGACAGGUGUGAAAUCCCGGGCUUAUCCGGGAACGUGCGCUUGUAACUGGUAGGCUUGAGUGUGGCAGAGGGGGUGGGAAUUCCACGUGUAGCAGUGAAAUGCGUAGAGAUGUGGAGGAACACCGAUGGCGAAGGCAGCCCCCUGGGCUAACACUGACGCUCAUGCACGAAAGCGUGGGGAGCAAACAGGAUUAGAUACCCUGGUAGUCCACGCCCUAAACUAUGUCAACUGGUUGUCGGGGAAGCAAUUCCUUGGUAACGAAGCUAACGCGUGAAGUUGACCGCCUGGGGAGUACGGCCGCAAGGUUA